rnacentral:rRNA from 1 species
AUUGAACGCUGGCGGCAUGCUUUACACAUGCAAGUCGAGCGAGCGGCGGACGGGUGAGUAAUGUAUCGGAACGUGCCCAAUAGCGGGGGAUAACUACUCGAAACAGUGGCUAAUACCGCAUACUAUUGGAUCAGCCCAUAUCGGAUUAGCUAGUUGGUGGGGUAAAGGCUCACCAAGGCGACGAUCCGUAGCUGGUCUGAGAGGAUGACCAGCCACACUGGAACUGAGACACGGCCCAGACUCCUACGGGAGGCAGCAGUGGGGAAUAUUGCACAAUGGGCGCAAGCCUGAUGCAGCCAGGCCGCGUGUAUGAAGAAGGCCUUCGGGUUGUAAAGUACUUUCAGUGGGGAGGCGUUACCCACAGAAGAAGCACCGGCUAACUCCGUGCCAGCAGCCGCGGUAAUAC